AAUUUGGGUAUAGCGCGCGUUUGCCCUAGUUGGCAUUGCAAAGCGCAACGCUUAGCGCUCCAAUUUAGGAACGGCAGUAAGAUUGUAAAUUACUUCAACUGUUUUAACAAGUGGAAAAUCAUCUACAUUUUCUUAUUGCCGAUUAAGAAAGGAAAUCAGUUUACAUAACUAGCUGCUAGCUACUUGCCUGAAAAUUUCCUUAGUAUAAACCUUUGCAAAACGAUUUUUCAGCACACAUAUGUGUACAUACAUAUGUAUGUAUGUAUCUUUGUAAGUAAAACGAGAAAAUUAAAAUAAUUCUAUAAGAGGCUAGCCAUAACAACAAUUUUGCUGCCUUUUCUAAUGCUGUUAUUCCACGUUACACACAAGCGGGCAAACUUGCCAGAAAGCUCUACCCUUGGCGUUAAAAACAACAACAACCAAAAGUUACCAAAGUUGGAG